UGGAGUGAGUAGUAUUCAGGCGUCGGCUGGAGUCGCGACGGCGCCAGUCUGCUGCUCACACCACG